rnacentral:rRNA from 1 species
UACGAAGGGGGCUAGCGUUGUUCGGAAUCACUGGGCGUAAAGCGCAUGCAGGCGGAUUGUUAAGUCGGGGGUGAAAUCCCGAGGCUCAACCUCGGAACUGCCUUUGAUACUGAGAAGCUUGAGUCCGGGAGAGGUGAGUGGAACUGCGAGUGUAGAGGUGAAAUUCGUAGAUAUUCGCAAGAACACCAGUGGCGAAGGCGGCUCACUGGCCCGAUACUGACGCUGAGGUGCGAAAGCGUGGGGAGCAAACAGG